rnacentral:rRNA from 1 species
AAACUUAAAUGAAUUGACGGGGGCCCGCACAAGCGGUGGAGCAUGUGGUUUAAUUCGAUGCAACGCGAAGAACCUUACCUACUCUUGACAUCCAGCGAAUCCUUUAGAGAUAGAGGAGUGCCUUCGGGAACGCUGAGACAGGUGCUGCAUGGCUGUCGUCAGCUCGUGUUGUGAAAUGUUGGGUUAAGUCCCGCAACGAGCGCAACCCUUAUCCUUUGUUGCCAGCACGUAAUGGUGGGAACUCAAAGGAGACUGCCGGUGAUAAACCGGAGGAAGGUGGGGAUGACGUCAAGUCAUCAUGGCCCUUACGAGUAGGGCUACACACGUGCUACAAUGGCAGAUACAAAGAGAAGCGACCUCGCGAGAGCAAGCGGAACUCAUAAAGUCUGUCGUAGUCCGGAUUGGAGUCUGCAACUCGACUCCAUGAAGUCGGAAUCGCUAGUAAUCGUAGAUCAGAAUGCUACGGUGAAUACGUUCCCGGGCCUUGUACACACCGCCCGU